UAGUGGAAGACUUAAGAUGGCGGCGUUUGCACGGAGUGCAAUCACUGCGUCCUUACGGGGGUUGCAAGGCGUCCGAAGUAUGAGUCCACUAACAAAAGUCCAGAAACUCGCCAGUUAAUAGUAUUGUGUCUCUUCAAAAUAUCGGAGAAUAAUUUCUUUCUCGCUGAUCGCCUAACUUCUACUGACGAAGCUUGGAAGUUGCAGAAGGUUGGAGUGCAAUGGCGCGAUCUCGGCUGACUGCAACCUCCACCUCCUGGAUUCAAGCUAUUCUCCUGCCUCAGCCUGCCGAGUAGCUGGGAUUACAGGCAUGUGCCACCGCACCCAGCUAAUUUUGUAUUUUUUAGUAGAGAUGGGGUUUCUCCAUGUUGGUCAGGCUGGUCUUGAACUCCUGACCUCAGGUGAUCCGCCCACCUCAGCCUCCCAAAGUGCUGGGAUUACAGGCGUGAGCCACCGCGCCCGGCCAGAACAUUAGUUUUAAACUUCCUAACCCUUGGGAGAAGGCAAAACACUUGAUGAAAUCUACAUAAAGACUAAAACAUUUUACCAAUUUUGCAUUGUUUGUUUGAAAUUGCAUUGACGACUGAUGGAGUUCGCUCUUGUUGCCCAGGCUGGAAUGCAAUGGCAUGACCUUGGCUCACUGCAACCUCUGCCUCCCCAGUUCAAGUGGUUCUCCUGCCUCAGCCUCCCGAGUAGCUGAGAUUACAGGUACUGGCUCCUGUAUCACCCAGCUCUGGAGUUGAAAGAGCUCUUCAUUCCUGAGUCUCCUGUACCACUGAGAAUAGAAAUACAAAAAAAAUUCUAAAACUUGUAUGGAACUACAAAAGACAUUAAAUAAUCAAAGUAAUCUUGAGCAACAAGGACACAGCUGGAGGCAUCACUCUACCUGAUUUUGUAAUCCAUUAUCAAAAAACUGUGGUACCAGCAUAAAAACAGAUUCACUGACCAGUGGAACAGGAAAGCCCAGACAUAACUCAUACAUUUCCAUCCAAUUGAUUUUUGACAAAAGUGGCACACAGAAUGGGGAGAGGACAAAUAAAUAAAUAAAUUGUUUUGAGAUAUCUGUAUAUCUAUAUGUGAAAUUGAACCAUUUUCUCAUAGCAUAUAGAAAAAUCAACUCAAAAUGGAUUAAAGCCUGAAAUGUUGCCUUUGAAACUGUAAAACUACUAGUAGAAAAUAUAGGGGAAAAGCUCUAUGAUGUUGUUCUGGGCAAUGAUUUCUUGGAUACAUCCUUAAAAGCAUGGGCAGCAAAAACAGCCAGACAACUAUCAGGGAACCUGCCCAGAUAGUCACAUAGGUUCUUUUCUAUUUUCCCUAAGCAUUGGCCGGGUUGAGAAAUAAAGGGACAGAGUACAAAAGAGAGAAAUUUUAAAGCUGGGCAUCCUGGGGAGACAUCACAUGUCGGUAGGUUCCGUGAUGCCCCCUGAGCCGUAAAACCAGUAAGUUUUUAUUAGGGAUUUUCAAAGGGGAGGGAGUAUACGAAUAGGAGGUGGGUCACAGAGAUCACGUGCUUCACAAGGUAAUAGAAUAUCACAAGGCAAAUGGAGGCAGGGCGAGAUCACAGGACCACAGGACUGGGUUGAAAUUAAAAUUGCUAAUGAAGUUUCGGGCACCAUCGUCAUUGAUAACAUCUUAUCAGGAGACAGGGUUUGAGAGCAACCUGUCUGACCAAAAUUUAUUAGGUGGGAAUUUCCUCGUCCUAAUAAGCCUGGGAGCGCUAUGGGAGACUGGGGCUUAUUUCAUCCCUACAGUCUCGACCAUAGAAGACAGCUACACCCAAGGGGGCCAUUUUAGAGGCCCACCCUCAGGGGCACAUUCUCUUUCUCAGGGAUGUUCCUUGCUGAGAAAAAGAAUUCGGCGAUAUUUCUCCCAUUUGCUUUUGAAAGAAGAGAAAUAUGGCUCUGUUCCGCCUGGCUCACCGGCGGUCAGAGUUUAAGGUUAUCUCUCUUAUUCCCUGAACAUUGCUGUUAUCCUGUUCUUUUUUCAAGGUGCCUAGAUUUCAUAUUGUUUAAACACACAUGCUCUACAAUUUCUGCACUUAACACAAUUAUCACAGGGUCCUGAGGCGACAUACGUCCUCCUCGGCUUACGAGAUGACAGGAUUAAGAGAUUAAAACAGGCAUAGGAAAUCACAAGGGUAUUGAUUGGGGAAGUGAUAAGUGUCCAUGAAAUCUUCACAAUUUAUGUUUAGAGAUUGCAGUAAAGACAGGCAUAAGAAAUUAUAAAAGUAUUAAUUUGGGGAACUAAUAAAUGUCCAUGAAAUCUUCACGAUCCACGUUCUUCCGCCAUGGCUUCAGCCAGUCCCUCCGUUUGGGGUCCCUGACUUCCCGCAACAGACAACUUGAGUUGCAUCAAACUAAAAAGCAUCUGCACUGCAAAGGGUACAGUUAACAGAAUGAAGACACGGGUUUUGAGAAACCAUUUUCAAAUCAUAUAUCUGAUAAGGGGCUAAUAUCCAAAAUGUAUUAAGAAACCCAAGCCCAAUAGCAAGAAAACAACUGUCUUUAAAAGGGGGAAAAGGACCUCAACUUAAAUUUUUCAGAGGAAGACAUGAGUGGCCAAUUGAUUGAUACAUGAAAAAAAUGCUCAACAUCUCUAAUCAUUAGUGAGUUGCAAAUCAAAACUGCAAGAUAUUACCUUACACCUUUUAGAAUGGCUAUUAUUAAAAGGAUGAAAGACAGGUGCUGGCAAGGAUGUGGAUAAAAGGAAGUCCCAACAUUCUGUUAGUGGGAAUAUAAAUUAGUAUAGCCAAUUUAGGAAACUAUAUGGUGGUUCCUUAAGAAACUAAAAGUACAAUUACUAUAUGAUCUAGCAAUCUCUACUUAGGUAUAUAUCCAAAGGAAUUGAAGCAGUAUGUUGAGAUCUUGCACUCCCUUAUUUUGAAAUUAUUUACAAAGCUAAUAAAUGGAAAAGACUUAAGUUUUCAUAACAGAUGAAUGGACAUAGAAGAUGUGUUGUAUAUACAUAUUGGAAUAUUUUUUAUCCUUGGAAAAGAAGGAAAAUUGUCAUUUGUGACAACAUGGAUGAAUCUGUAGUAUACUAUGCUAAGUGUUGUAAGACAGGCACAGAGAGGCAAAUACUACAUUAUAUUUGUAUGUGGAAUCUAAGAAAGGCUAACUCAUACAAGUAGAAAGUUGGAUGUUAUGGUUUCCAGGAUGUGGGUGUUGGAGAGAUGGGCAAAGGCAAGACGUUGGUCAAAGAGUACCAAUUUUCUGUUAGGAGGAAUAAGUUUUAGACAUAUUUCACAGCAUGGUGACCAUUGUCACUGACUGUAUAUUUUAAAAUUGUUAUAAGUAGAUAUUAAAGUUGUCACAACAAAAGUAGGUGAAGUUAUGGAUAUGUUAAUGUGCUUGAUUUAGUUAUUACACUAUGUAUACAUACAAAAACAUCAGAUAGUUCCCUGGAAUUAUAUACAAUUAUUACUUGUCAAUUAUAAAAAAAAGCCCUACUGCAACCACUAAAAAGGAUUUUCAUAUAAUAGAGGGAAAAAUCGUUAAAGAUAAUAAUACAUUAUUUUAGAAAAUAUUAACUUAUAAAAAGUAGUAUAGGAGGGAUUCUGUAAAAGAAGAUAGACAUAGAAUUUUAAAAUGUAUAAUGGAAAAUUUAAAUCCAGCUGUACUGAUGGAUCAAGCAAUCCAAACCAGUCUGAUUGACCAAGUGGAUAUUUAAAAAACAAUCAAACUAUAAGGUGUCUGUUGUAGGCAGUUUAUAAAAUACAAAAGUGUUGAAAGAAAUAGGAUGGAAAUAGAAAUAUCCAAGUAGCAACCACAAAAAAACUGGAAUGUCUGCACUAACAUCAUACAAAACAAACCAAAUGAAGGUUAAAAAUAUUGAAAUUAUACAAAAUAUGUUCUAUGACUAAAAUUUAAUGAAAUUAGAAAUAACACAGAGAUAGGAACUAUACAUAUUUGUGCAAAUUUAAAAAGUUAUGCUGAGUGUGGUGGCUCACACCUGUAAUCCCAGCACUUUGGGAGGCCGGGGAGGGUGGAUCACUUGAAGUCAGGAGUUGGAGACCAGCCUGGCCAACAUGGUGAAACCCUGUCUCUACUAAAAAUACAGAAAAUUAGCCAGAUGUGGUGGUGUGCGCCUGUAGUCCCAGCUACUCGGGUGGCUGAGGCACUAGAAUCACUUGAGCCUAGGAGGCAGAGGUGGCAGUGAGCCGAGAUCACACCACUGCACUGCAGCCUGGGCGACAAAGACUGUCAAAAAAAAAAAAAAAAAAAAAAAGUUACGUAACCAACAAGUCAAAGGAGAAUUUAUAAGGAAAUCAGAAAAUACUUUGAGGUGAAUGAAAAUACAGAAACAACAUAUCAAAUUCUGUGAGAUGUGUGAAAGCAACGCUUACAGUGAAAUUAAUAGCUAUGAACAUUGUAAUGAAAUGAGAAGUACUUCAAAUUACUAACCUAACUUUCCAACUUUAGAAAAUACAGUAAAAAAAGAACAAAUUAAAAUCAAAGCAGAAAGGAUAUAAAGUUUAGUGUGGAAAUAGAGAAUUAAAAAUAAUUGAGAAACACAGCACUUCGUUGACUUAUUCAUAAAAUAAAGCUUUAUUAAAAUGAGAAAUGUAAAACGUGAUGUUCCUAAUGACCUUAUUCCAUACAAGGGAUUAGUAUUUUGACAAAUAUCUUUGUGGAAGUAGACAAAUUCCUAGAAAGACACUGACUACCACAACUCAUUCAAGAACAAAGUGAAGACAAUAAAUUGGUAAUUUAAAAACUCUCACCCCUGCCCCUGACACACAUGUAAAUUCCCAGUUCAAAUGUAUUCUUUUGUAUAUUAUACCAAACACAUGAAAAUUACCAAUUCGAUAAAAAUGUCUUAAAAACUUGGAAGAGCAUGUAAUAUUUUUUACUGGUUCUAUGAUGCUAUUGUUAUCUAGAUACCAAAGUGAAACAUCAUACACAGGGAAAACUCUGAUAAUAUCGCUUAUGAGUGGAUCUGUGAAAUUUCCUAGUAAAUUUUGGCAAACCAAAUACAGUAACAUAUAAACAGGAAUGUACACCAGUACCCAGUACAGUGUAUCCCUGGAAUGCAACGUUAUUUCAUCAGCUGGAAAUGAUUAGUGCAACAGACUGAAGGAAGAAAACAACAUGGUCAUCUCAAUAGAUUGUGGACGGCUGGAAGUGGAGGCUCACGCCUGUAAUCCUAAUACUCCUACCAACAGUGUAUAAGCAUUCCUUUUUCUCUGUAACUUCACCAGAAUCUGUUUUUUUGUUUGUUUGUUUGUUUGUUUUUGACUUUGUAAUAGCCAUGGGCUGGGCUCAGUGACUCACGCCUGUAAUCCUAGCACUGGGGGAGGCUGAGGUGGGCGGAUCACUUGAGGUCAGGAGUUCGAGACCAGCCUGGCCAACAUGGUGAAACCCCAUCUCUACUAAAAAUACUAAAAUUACCUGUGCAUGGUGGCAAGUGCCUGUAAUCCCAGCUACUCGGGAGUCUGAGGCAGUAGAAUCACUUGAACCCAGGAGGUGGAGGUUGCAGUGAGCGGAGAUUGUGCCACUGCACUUGGACCUGGCUGACACAGCAAGACUAUGUUUAAAAAAAAAGAGAGAGAAAAAAAAAAUAGAAGGUGGAAAAAGUAUUUGGUAAACUAAGAAGUAAACCACAACCUAGUAAAGGGCAUAUUUUAAGAAUUCACAACUAGAACCUGGUGCCGUGGCUGUAAUCCCAGCACUUGGGGAAGCCAAAGCAGGAUUACUUGAGGCCAGAAGUCUGAGAUCAGCCUAGGCAAUAUAAGGAUACUCUGUAUCUUAAAAAAAAAAAAAAAAUCCAGAUGUGAUGACACAUGCCUGUACGCCUAGCUACUUGGGAAGCUGAGGUUCAUGUUUACAAUGAGCUAUGAUGAUGCCACUGUACUCCUGACUGAACAACAGAGUGAGACCCUGUCUCUAAAAAGCAAAACAAAACAGAAAACCCAAAACCCUCAAAACUAAUGUUACACUUAGUAUUUAAAGAAUGCUUUCUCUGUAAGAAGAGGAGCAAGGACAGGAUAAAACAUUCUUGCCAGUUCUGUUCAACAGUGUACUGGAAGUAUCUGUGACAUUAAUUGCAUUGCAUAUGGAAGGAAAUAAAAUUUUUUAAAUAGGAAGCAGCAAAACCUUUUGCAGAUGACAUGGUUUUGUACAUACACAACCCCAGUGGAUCCAAUAAAUUUGGAUUCCAAUAACAAGAUCAUCUCAGCAAGUUUUUGUGAUUUAAGAUUACAAUCCAAAAAUCAGUUGUAUUUCUAUAUAUUAUUAAAGAAGUCAAAAGUGACAUCAUUGAAACAUUUUUAUUUACAAUAUUAUUAAGGCAAAAUACUGUGGGAUAAAGUGAAAUUCAGCAUGAACUGUGAAUAACACAAAAUAUUUGUCAGAGGAGUUGAGGAAUAUCUACAUAUGUGGAAAGACAUCUCAUAUUUGUGGACUAGAAGAUUUAAGCAUCGCUAGGUGCGGUGGCUCACGCCUGUAAUCCCAGCACUUUGGUAGGCUGAGGUGGGCGGAUCACAAGGUCGGGAGUUCGAGACCAGCCUGGCCAAUAUGGUGAAACCCCGUCUCUACUAAAAAUACAAAAAAAUUAGGCGGGUGUGGUGGCGCAUGCCUGUAAUCCCAAUCCCUCUAGGCUGAGGCAGGAGAAUCUCUUGAUCCCGGGAGGCGGAGGUUGCAGUGAGCCAAGAUCGGGCCACUGCACUCCAGCCUGGGCAACAGAGCUAGGCUCCCUCUCAAAAAAAAAAAAAAAAAAGCAUCAAAAGGAUAGUUCAUUAAUGGAAAUAAUAAAUUGAAAAAGGGAAGGACAUCAAAGUUUAAUGCUUUUACUUUUUCAUAAUAACCAUAAAUAGUAUGAAAAUACAAACUAUAUUCAUGGAAAAUGUUUUGUUUUUAUUUUUUUUGAGACAGAAUUUUGCUCUUGUUUCCCAGGCUGGAGUGCAAUGGCACGAUCUCAGCUCACCACAACCUCUGCCUCCCGGGUUCAAGUGAUUCUCCUGCCUCAACCUCCCAAAUAGAUGGGAUUACAGGCAUGUGCCAGUACGCCCGCCUAAUUUUUUUGUUAUUUCUAGUAGAGAUGAGGUUUCUCCAUGUUGGUCAGGCUGGUCUCGAAUUCCCGACCUCAGGUAAUCUGCUCGCCUCUGCCUCCCAAAGUACUGGGAUUAUAGGUGUGAGCCACCAUGCCCGGCCCUUUGUUUUCAAAUCUCAUAUCCAACAUUGGACUUAUGGCUAGAAUAUUUACAUAAUUCUCAAAAGAUAGUAUUAAAAAUCCAAAGCUUUAAAUUAGAAAAUGGGCAAAAGUCAUGAAAGAACAUUCCCCUGAGGAUAGGGAAAUGUCAAUAAGGACAUGAUGGAAAUUAAUACUAUGAUGAGAUAUUACAGAAGAUUUAUUUUUCUUUGAGGCGGAGUCUGCCUCUGUCACCGAGGCUGGAGUGCAGUGGCAUGAUCUCAGCUCACUGCAACCUCCACCUCCCGGGUUCCAGCGAUUCUCCUGCCUCAGCCUCCCAAGUAGCUGGGAUUACAGGCGCCUGCCACCACGCCCAGCUAAUUUUUUUUUUUUUUUUUUUUUUUGUAUUUUUAGUAGAGACGGGGUUUCUCCAUGUUGGCCAAGCUGGUCUCAAACUCCUGACCUCAGGUGACCCACCUGCCUCAGCCUCCCAAAGUGCUGGAAUUAAGAGGUGUGAGCCACCACACCUGGCCUACAGCAGAUUUAUUUCAGUAGCUGAAAUAGUUAAAACAUAAUGAUUCCAAAGGCUGAGAAGCAUGCAGAAAAAAUUGAAUCUUUAUUGCUGAUGGGAAUAUAAAACUGUAUACCACAUUGGAAAAUAAUUUGGCAAUUUCUUUUAAAGCUAAACACACACAUACAGUUAGUUAGGCUUAGCAAUUGCUGUCAUGGCCUAUUUCAUAGAAAUGAAAAUUUAUGUGUAGACCAAACCUGCACUUGACUGUUCACAGAAAUUUUAUUUGUAAUAGUCAGAACCUGGAAACAACUCACAUGUUAUUCACCAGGUAAACAGUUAAAUAAGUCUGUUAUUUCCGUAUUGUGUAAUACAACUCAAAAAUUAAAAGGAAUAAACUACUACUAUACAAAUAAGCCUUAGAUGAUUCUCAAUUCUGAAGGAAAAACCCAUUUCAAGUUGUAACAUAAUGCUUAUUUUUAUGUAUCUUAAUGUGAUGAAGUUAAAUAGUUUAGAGAACAUUGUUCGUAUUCAUCUGUUAGGGAUGGUAGAAGUUAGGGUUGUAUGUGAUUAUAAGACUAGUGGAAGGGAUACGUUUUUAAUGAUGGAUGAGUUCUGCAUUCUGAUUCAUGCAGUGGUUACAAAAAUGUAUACAUGUGAUAAAAUGUCAUGUAAAUGUGCACAUUUCACCAAUGACAAUGUGCUGGUUGUGAUAUUGUACAAUGUUAAUGGAAAAUAUCACCACUGGGGAAAAUUGAGUGGUAUGUGUAAACGGUACUAUAUUUGCAGCAUUUUGUGAGUCUUUAUUUUAACAUAAUAUGUAAAUAUGUAAAGCAACUAGAAGAAUGGUUUUAAUACAGGAGAGUAACAGCUUAUAAGCAAGAGAAAGAAAAAUGAUAAAUAAUGUGAACACUUACCAAAGGAAGGGUGGAACAGAGAAAUAAAGGACAGGGAAAAUUAUCUGGGAUGAUUCCUAAAUUCCAAUAUUUGGAUGGAACUAUACAGAAUUUUAAUAUAUCUGGAAAAUAAACUGAAAAUAUUAACGGAUCCACAGAUAUUGAAGACUUAACCUUUUUUAUCUCAUUAUUCAUUAAAACAAGUGAAAUGUUAUAGGGAAUUCUUCAAAUUGAAAGAAGCAGCUCAUGCAUAACACAAAAACAUGAAUGUAUAAAACUGACUGGUAAAAGGUAAGUAACUCAAAUUCACAGUACUGGUAUACUGUAAUGGUGGUGUACAAAUAACGUAUAUCUUUAUUGUUAAGGUUAAUACACAAAACUUUUUUAAUGAGAUGGCUGUUGCUAUGUUGCUCAGGCUGGUCUGAAACUUCUGGGCUCAAGCAAUUUUCCCCCCUCAGCCUUCUGAUUAGACGGUAUUAUGGGCACCUGCCAUGAUGUCCAUCUACAAAACUAUUAAUAAUUACAACAAUUUGUUUAGCCAUAUGUGAUAUAAAUAUAUGUAAGGUGUGACAUCAAGAACAUAAUGGGUCACCAAAAUCUCAGAGUAAAAACACUCUGGUUUUACUCACCCCCAUAGAACCUCAGUAAUAUAUCCAGCACCAAUAUUAUCACAAGUUAUAUCCCAGAACUGAAAUCCGAGGCUGAGACAUUUCCUCAGACUACAGAGAAGUGAAAAACUUGGAGCAGAUGAUAAAAGGCUUCUUCUGUAUUUAUGAGACUCCUAUGUGCCUGCCAUCAUGUGUGGAAAAUUUUAUCGACAUUCACCAGUUCAACAUGGGAUAAAUGUGAGAUUUUGGCACACAGCUUCUUCACCAUCUUGGCUUCUCUUGUUGAAAAGCUGUUAAUAGCUUAAAACAUGGGAAGUAUUGUGUGUGCUUGUAGAAAGAAAAUCCCAUGAUGGCAGUGAAAGACAAUUGGGCCAGUUGAGAUUCACAACUCCAGCCUGAAAAUUUUCUUUACGUCAGACAACAUAGAUGCCAAGUCAGAGUGGCUGUUCAGCAGCACUAUAAUGUAGUAGGCAGAGUUCAUAGUUCUUUGCACAAAUGCCUAUCCAACCUUCCUGCACAGCCAGAGGAUUGACUUUGGGACCCCUAUAUGGGAUGGGCAAUGCUCCAAAUGUUUGUGAGAGCUGAGUCAAAUCUAAAACAGGCAGCACUCACGGAUUAAGUAGUCUUGACAGGGAACUACAAAUAAUAAUAUCUAAGAAAAUAUACUCUAGGAAGACCAAAAAAAG
rnacentral:lncRNA from 1 species